CAUCCCACCUCCUUGACCUGUCUGUCUUCCCUGGACUGACCUAUCCCCUCCCUACCUCCCCACCUAUUCUCUCUCCACCUAACUUCUUUACUCUCCAUCUUCGGUCCGCCUCCCCCUCUCUCCCUAUUUAUUCCAGUUCCCUCUCCCCAUCCCCCUAUUUCUGAUGAAGGGUCUAGGCCCGAAACGUCAGCUUUAGUGCUCCUGAGAUGCUGCUUGGCCUGCUGUGUUCAUCCAGCCUCACAUUUUAUUAUCCAGGAAGAAAACAGCUGGAGUACAAAGGUUAUUGACCAAGAAAACAGCUGGAUUUAGAGAUGGUUGAUGGAAGCAAACAGCUGGUGUGAGGGAAGAAGGAGCAGAGACUGGCAUUGCCGAAUGGGGCUCCUGAGGAACACCAGACGAUGCUUGACACAGACAGUGCAAACCAUCAGGG